CGACGUUGUUGCUUUAUUAAUAUUUGGAUCUAAAAUGAUAAGUAAAUGCAUUGAUGAGCGCCUGAUAUAAAACUAGAUUAGAAUCCAGAAUAUACGAAAGCACUAAAAGCCCGGGCCUCAAUUCCACACACUGUGUUGAAAUUCCGUCACACUAAGUAUCCUAAAUACACAGUGAUGAUGUCACUUUCGUGCUCGGGACCACACUUGCCCAAAUCAACCAGGUUAGAUUUGUUGAGAACAUCAAGAUAUAUUGGGAAAAAUAUAAAUCCCAUAAAGCAAUCAUCCAGUAUUUGUCAAAUGCACGGUCACGCAUCAUCCAAUUGUAAUAAGAAAGCAGUGUGUGUCAAUGUGUACAGCAUGAUACCAGGUCCUGCAGCAAAACCUCAGAAACUUCUCCAAUAUGCACCAACUAUAAAAGCAUUCACCCGGCUAACUAUUCCAAAUGUUCUGUUCUAUUAGCUUUUCUGGCCAAAAAGACCGCUAACAAAGAAAGAAUUCAACACGCUCAGUAAUUUUUCUCAAACACACACCUCCCAGUACAAAGCUUCCCGCACCUUAUUCCUAACAAAAUCCCUACCACCUUCCCUCUCACUCAAACAAAUCAGAGAAUAAAGCAAGGAAUAUCGUAAGAUGAUAGCGGUAUUACUUCAGCCAUUCUCACAACUUUAACAAAUUGAACACUCGAUCAACACAAAUCUCUCCGACCAAAUAGACGAUAUUAAAUCAGCAAAUCUGAACCAGUUCCUGAGAAUCAUAGUGCUCGUACAAAAACAUUACACGAAAUGUACCAAUAAUCUAGAAAGAAUUCGAGCAACCAUCUUAAUAAUGAAAAAACUUGACAAUGGACAGCUAUAAAAACUUAAUAUUAUCUUAUGAAACCAGCAGCGUUAAAAAGAAGGUAUCUGAACUUCACAAAUUUCUAAUGGACCACAACACAGAAAUUGCAAUCAUCACAGAAUCCUGACUCACCCCAAAAGACAUCUUCAAAAUUCCUAAUUAUAAAAUAUACAGACAAGACGGACCACGAACCAUUAAGAAUAAACCAAGAGGCGGAGUACUAAUAGCUUUACAUAAGAAUGUUCCUACAGAAGACAUGCCACAACCCGUUACCUGUACUAUUUGCCAUCAAGACUAAAACCACUCCCAACCUAACGAUUGGAGCAGCACAGUCUUUUCCAAGUUAAAAUAAACCCAUCUGUCAUCGUAUUGCCUCAAGGAUCUGGAUUUUACAUAAUCGACGGUGACUUCAAUGUCAAGAAAUAAUAUCAAACUUAUGGAAUAAUAUCAAAAGAAAUGUGAACCGAUUCCAUCCUCAAGAACCAUUUCGAGCUACAUAACUAUUAAAUCAUCCAUAGCUCAUUUGGUUAAACUGCAGUCCCACCAACAUUGAUAUCUUUCUGUCAAAUGUCCCCUUCUCACACAAUUACCACAAGUUAUCAUCAAAUUAUCUUCCGGUUGUCCUCUCACUUUCAACUCGAAACAACGCAGACGACAAUACCCAACUAUACAAACCGAUUGGAACACAUUCACCAAAAACCGCAGCAAAUUCAAAAUAAAUCAGUAACUACUAAUCACAGUUGACACUGACAACGAAAUUAAAAUCUUCACCUGACUCAUUCAAAGAUCCUUUCGAAACGCAACGCACAAAAUUCCAAACCUACUUCUGUACACUCCAGGACUUCAUAAAAGAGAGAGACAAAAAAGUAGACGAAAAUUCCAAAAACCUGGUAACCUUUUCUACAAGCUACACAGAAACUUGCUCUCAUCCGCAAACAUUAAGAAGAUCACUGGACCCGGAUACUAAUACAGAAUUCUGCAUGCCACAUCCUCUACUACACAGACGAAGAAAAAGCUGAAAGCUUGGCUGAAAACUUCGAAAAAAUUUACAAUUCUGCACGGAACACAAACUGUUUCAUCGAACACAAAAUUGAAUGACUCGCAACUCUACUACUCAGGAACCUUCCCAAAAAACAAUCUUGUUCGAGUUCGUUAGAGUGAUACAGUCUCUCAUAGAUGAAUUGACCUACAGUCGAGCCGUCUAUUCAAUAGAAUAUUCCGAUAGUCAUUCUUCCAUUCAUUAUUCUUCCCUAAAAAGAGAUAACAAUGCACUAAGCACAAACAAUGAU